CGCAGAGCCAAUGGGAACAGAGGGGACUGCCGCUAGCCAAUCCAUGCGCGGGGGCGGGGCGGUGAAAGGUAUAUAAGACGCGCCGCAAGGCGGGCUCGCUCGCUGCGGUGGCGGGGAGGGCUCAGUCUUUCUAACCCUAAGCGGAACGUGGCCCCUCCCCGCCGCAGCCGUCCGCUGUUUUACUCGCUGACUUUCAGCGGACGGGGGGAGCGGGCGGAGACACCAACCAAAAAACGUCAGCGAGGGGCCCUCCCCUCCCACGCCGACCUGGGCCGGUGUGGGGCCCGCCAGGGAAGUCCCCGUCGCCCCGCCCUGGUGAGGCCGCGGUCAGCCGGCUCGCGCCACUGCUGCCGCGAAGAGUUCGUCUCUGUCAGCCUCGGGGGCGGCCGGGGUGGAAGGGCGGGUCCCGGGCGGGUCGGCCGGGAGAGCAAACGUGAGCGGCGGCCCCUGCGCAACCGCCCUCCCCGAGCUGUGGGGCCCGCGGUCGGGGCUGCGCUCAGACACGCCGAGCGGAGGCGGCGGAGGCGGGGCUGGCCAGUGCCAAGGAUGGGCCGUUCCUGGCAGCAGCUGCCGUCUGGCUGCGGUCCCGAGGGGCCGCGGGAAUCUGCGUCGGGCUCCCUCCGCCGUGAGGAGGCUGCAGCGCGGUGCUGCUGCGGCCAACGGCGGGCGGGUAACCAAAGAGAAGGCAAGAUUUCCUCACACUCAACAAAACAGCCUAAAGUAAAAUAUUUUCAAGUUCUGCAUCUCUCUGGCCAGUAGGGGUAUGCUCCCUGAAUAAUUGAGUAUUCUCAAAAUACUCCCACUUUGCUCUGAAAGUCACCUGUUGUACUUGGUUUGAGUUUGUCAGCUGUCUCAUCAACAUAAAAAUGUUGGCUAGAUGGUUUAAUAGCGAAGGAAUGGUCCAUAUGGAGCAGUAAAAAGAUCUAGGAUUGUGUGUUUGCAUAUCGAUACCACAAUCCGUCACCACAUGAUCUGUGGCAUUCUGGUCAGCAAGGGAAAGAGAAAGGAGCCUUGAAGACCACAGAAGGGAAGAAGAUAACAUUGUUUUCAACAAUUUUAAAUAAAAUUGGCAAUUCAUUACAUCGUU